rnacentral:rRNA from 1 species
AACGAACGCUGGCGGCAUGCCUAACACAUGCAAGUCGAACGAUGCCUUCGGGCAUAGUGGCGCACGGGUGCGUAACGCGUGGGAAUCUGCCUUUCGGUUCGGAAUAACUCAGGGAAACUUGAGCUAAUACCGGAUAACGUCGCAAGACCAAAGAUUUAUCACCGAAAGAUGAGCCCGCGUAGGAUUAGCUAGUUGGUGAGGUAAAGGCUCACCAAGGCGACGAUCCUUAGCUGGUCUGAGAGGAUGAUCAGCCACACUGGGACUGAGACACGGCCCAGACUCCUACGGGAGGCAGCAGUGGGGAAUAUUGGACAAUGGGCGAAAGCAUGAUCCAGCAAUGCCGCGUGAGUGAUGAAGGCCUUAGGGUUGUAAAGCUCUUUUACCCGGGAAGAUAAUGACGGUACCGGGAGAAUAAGCCCCGGCUAACUCCGUG